rnacentral:lncRNA from 1 species
UUGUGUGUGAUAAUUGUUCUUGUGACUUGUUCUUUGUUGUUAUCUUCUUUUCUUCUGUGUUUGUUUUUCGUUACCUGAGAAAAUGUCUUGCUGCGGUGGUAACUGUGGUUGCGGAAGCUCCUGCAAGUGCGGCAGUGGCUGCGGAGGGUGAGUGAGGUUUUCGUGUCUUUGUUGUGUCACCUUUUCAAAUAUCGGUUUUUUUCUUUGUUGAGAGUUUUCUUCCUGGAUUUUAAUUUGCUUUUCGGGGACCCUUUUGGUUGAAUUUCACGAAAGUUCACGCUUUGUUAAUUUUCUUGCAUGGGGAUAUUAUGAUCUGAACAUUUAUUUUGCUUCUAUAGAACAUGUAGACUUGUGUUUUCUUUACACGGGCAAGGUUUUUGGGGUGUUUUGAUUUGCUAUCUGGGUAACCUUUCGUUGAAUUUGUAUAGAAGUUCGUUAAUUUUUUUUUUUCUUACGUGGGUUUUUGCAUGUCAAAUUCCGACCACUUUUAUGGUCUAAAGAUUGCGGUGCUUCGAUUUUGUUUGGUUUUUGAAUACCUUUUGAGUUGAUCUGUGGUUGUUAGAAUCUCCACGGGUUUUUAUUUCUGGAAAAAUGGUUUUGGAUGUCCUCAAAUAUAUUGAAUGUGAAUUCACCCGAUCAUGAUGGAAAUGAACCAUAUUAAUGUUUGUGCACUGCUAAGAAGAGAGAAACGCAGUGCUUUCAAGUAAAAAAAAAUGAUUAAUAGAGGAGUUUUUACCAUUUGUGUUGUCUAAAAUUCCCUUAAAACUUUUUUGUUUUCUUAUUUUCUGGUUUUUGAUUGUUCUGCAGCUGCAAGAUGUACCCAGACUUGAGCUACACGGAGCAAACAACCACCGAGACUUUGGUCAUGGGAGUGGCACCCGUGAAGGCUCAAUUCGAAGGUGCUGAAAUGGGUGUUGCUGGUGAGAAUGAUGGCUGCAAGUGUGGAUCAAACUGCACAUGCAACCCCUGUACUUGCAAGUGAGCUUGAAUCGCAAAAGCUUGAAGCAGAGAUGGACCUUAAUUAGAAUUAGCGGCAGGAAUAAUUACAAUAAUUAACUAUUAUCCGUAGUUAAAAACCUUAAAAUUAUGUAAGUUUGUGUGUCUGUUUUGGUUUUCUCUGGUGUUAGGUCUGAACACCCUUUAGAAUAAAGUGGUCAUGUCUUGCCCUUGAACAAGUUCAAGUGCUAUGGACUUGUGAUGGGAUUAUCUAGCCAUGGUUACUUUGGUUUGUUCUGUGUAAAGUUGGCUAAUCAGAAUUAUCAGUCUCUGCUUAUAAUAUUAUAUUACUAGUAAAAGUGAGUGUUUUCUGUGAUUUUGUUAAGAAUUUUAUUUAUAGAAUAAAGGAUAACAAUCAGAUAAUUACAAAAUGAAUACGAAUAGUAGUUGGUUCUGAUGAAUGUGUGUGGAUUUGAAAACUAAAGGAAGUUGAUGUGAAAAAAAGGAUCAUUUCUCUCCAUUUGUUUGGGAGGUACCAUAUGAUAUUGCAAUGGCAUUUUU